GACACGUAGCUCAGUUGGCAGAGCAUUGGGCUAGCAUUCCAAAGGUCGUAGGUUCGAUUCCCACCGUGGUCA
rnacentral:tRNA from 1 species